rnacentral:tRNA from 1 species
GGAUUGUGGCUCAGUGGUAGAGUGCUUUCCUAGCAUGUGCAAGGCCCUGGGUUCAAUCCUAAGCACCA